rnacentral:rRNA from 1 species
UGCGCAGGCGGCUUGCUAAGUCGGAUGUGAAAGCCCCGGGCUUAACCUGGGAAUUGCAUUCGAUACUGGCAAGCUAGAGUCUGGUAGAGGUAAGCGGAAUUCCGGGUGUAGCGGUGAAAUGCGUAGAUAUCCGGAGGAACAUCAGUGGCGAAGGCGGCUUACUGGACCAGGACUGACGCUCAUGCACGAAAGCGUGGGUAGCAAACA